CCGCCGCCCCCGCCCCCCUACGGGAGGCAGCAGUGGGGAAUAUUGGACAAUGGGCGAAAGCCUGAUCCAGCCAUGCCGCGUGUGUGAAGAAGGUCUUCGGAUUGUAAAGCACUUUAAGUUGGGAGGAAGGGCAGUAAGUUAAUACCUUGCUGUUUUGACGUUACCGACAGAAUAAGCUCCGGCUGCUC
rnacentral:rRNA from 1 species